rnacentral:rRNA from 1 species
UAGUACGGCGAGUGAAGCGGCAAAAGCUCAAAUUUGAAAUCUGGUACCUUCGGUGCCCGAGUUGUAAUUUGGAGAGGGCAACUUUGGGGCCGUUCCUUGUCUAUGUUCCUUGGAACAGGACGUCAUAGAGGGUGAGAAUCCCGUGUGGCGAGGAGUGCGGUUCUUUGUAAAGUGCCUUCGAAGAGUCGAGUUGUUUGGGAAUGCAGCUCUAAGUGGGUGGUAAAUUCCAUCUAAAGCUAAAUAUUGGCGAGAGACCGAUAGCGAACAAGUACAGUGAUGGAAAGAUGAAAAGAACUUUGAAAAGAGAGUGAAAAAGUACGUGAAAUUGUUGAAAGGGAAGGGCAUUUGAUCAGACAUGGUGUUUUGUGCCCUCUGCUCCUUGUGGGUAGGGGAAUCUCGCAUUUCACUGGGCCAGCAUCAGUUUUGGUGGCAGGAUAAAUCCAUAGGAAUGUAGCUUGCCUCGGUAAGUAUUAUAGCCUGUGGGAAUACUGCCAGCUGGGACUGAGGACUGCGACGUAAGUCAAGGAUGCUGGCAUAAUGGUUAUAUGCCGCCCGUCUUGAAACCACGGAC